rnacentral:rRNA from 1 species
AACGAACGCUGGCGGCAUGCCUAACACAUGCAAGUCGAACGAUGCCUUCGGGCAUAGUGGCGCACGGGUGCGUAACGCGUGGGAAUCUGCCCUUGGCUUCGGAAUAACAGUUAGAAAUGACUGCUAAUACCGGAUGAUGUCCCCCUGAGAGAUCUUGGGGACCAAAGAUUUAUCGGCCAGGGAUGAGCCCGCGUAGGAUUAGGUAGUUGGUGGGGUAAAGGCCUACCAAGCCGACGAUCCUUAGCUGGUCUGAGAGGAUGAUCAGCCACACUGGGACUGAGACACGGCCCAGACUCCUACGGGAGGCAGCAGUGGGGAAUAGUGGACAAUGGGGGGAACCCUGAUCCAGCAAUGCCGCGUGAGUGAUGAAGGCCUUAGGGUUGUAAAGCUCUUUUACCAGGGAUGAUAAUGACAGUACCUGGAGAAUAAGCUCCGGCUAACUCCGUG